GAUGAACGCUGGCGGCGUGCCUAAUACAUGCAAGUCGAGCGAACAGAUGAGGAGCUUGCUCCUCUGACGUUAGCGGCGGACGGGUGAGUAACACGUGGAUAACCUACCUAUAAGACUGGGAUAACUUCGGGAAACCGGAGCUAAUACCGGAUAAUAUAUUGAACCGCAUGGUUCAAUAGUGAAAGACGGUUUUGCUGUCACUUAUAGAUGGAUCCGCGCCGCAUUAGCUAGUUGGUAAGGUAACGGCUUACCAAGGCGACGAUGCGUAGCCGACCUGAGAGGGUGAUCGGCCACACUGGAACUGAGACACGGUCCAGACUCCUACGGGAGGCAGCAGUAGGGAAUCUUCCGCAAUGGGCGAAAGCCUGACGGAGCAACGCCGCGUGAGUGAUGAAGGUCUUCGGAUCGUAAACCUCUGUUAUUAGGGAAGAAAAAAUGUGUAAGUAACUAUGCACGUCUUGACGGUACCUAAUCAGAAAGCCACGGCUAACUACGUG
rnacentral:rRNA from 1 species